AAUAAACAAACAGCAAAGCCUUGAUGAGAACUAUCGGAGGGCAGGAGGACGACUGGACACUGAUUUUAUAUUAGGUGGCCAGAGACAGCCUUUCUGAGAAGAUGCCAUCAAAGCUGAGACCUGAAUGUUAAGACUAAGAAGCAAGUAAUAGAAAAUCAGAAGAAAAAGCACUCCCAGAAGAUGGGACCAUUAAGGGUAAAGAAGUUGGCCCUGUCGACAUGGAAUACUUUCAAGGUUUAUGUAAUAAAGGAAAUGAAAACUCUAAAGUGGAUGGCUCUAAAGCAAUAGAAAGGCUCCUCUUGAACUUGGUUUGAGCAGUUCCCCUCUCAGAAGAAAUGUGUCCAGUCCACAAUCGAGAAGAGUAGAGGACAGAUGGCAUGAAGACCAGGAGACAAGAACCAACUGAGGCCAUUGUGAGUCUGUCUGCCAAGGGGAGUAUGACAAACCAGAGAAAUCACCUGGAAUAUUCCAUUUUUCUGACUAUAGUUACUGGCUCAUGGAUGGUCACAUGAUCUAAGUCAGGUCCAUGAGGGUGAAUCCUGGAAAUUUGGCUGGAGAACUUCUCUUUCUAUUGGAGUUUCUGAGGGUGUCAACCUGGGACCUCACUAGCCCUCUCUGUCACCAUCUGGGGAAACGGCCUUGAAAAUAGGCCAGCAUAGAAGAAAACAGGAUGAAAUGAUGAAGGUGAACGCGUGCCAUUGUGUAAACACCUUGAUCCUGGUAUAUUUA